UACGGAGGGUGCAAGCGUUAUCCGGAUUCACUGGGCUUAAAGGGUGCGUAGGUGGGUCUGUAAGUCAGUGGUGAAAUCUCCGAGCUUAACUCGGAAACUGCCAUUGAUACUAUAGGUCUUGAAUUAUCUGGAGGUGAGCGGAAUAUGUCAUGUAGCGGUGAAAUGCUUAGAUAUGACAUAGAACACCAAUUGCGAAGGCAGCUCACUACGGAUAUAUUGACACUGAGGCACGAAAGCGUGGGGAUCAAACAGG
rnacentral:rRNA from 1 species